rnacentral:rRNA from 1 species
CGCGCAGGCGGUCUUGUCCGUCAGGUGUGAAAGCUCGGGGCUCAACCCCGGAAGUGCACUUGAAACAGCAAGACUUGAAUGCGGGAGAGGAGAGAGGAAUUCCUGGUGUAGAGGUGAAAUUCGUAGAUAUCAGGAGGAACACCGAUGGCGAAGGCAUCUCUCUGGACCGAUAUUGACGCUGAGGCGCGAAGGCGUGGGUAGCGAACG